UACGUAGGGUGCGAGCGUUAAUCGGAAUUACUGGGCGUAAAGUGUGCGCAGGCGGCCGCGCAAGUCGAGUGUGAAAGCCCCGAGCUUAACUUGGGAACUGCGCUCGAAACUACGUGGCUGGAGUGUGGCAGAGGAAGGUGGAAUUCCACGUGUAGCGGUGAAAUGCGUAGAGAUGUGGAGGAACACCGAUGGCGAAGGCAGCCUUCUGGGCCAAAACUGACGCUCAUGCACGAAAGCGUGGGGAGCAAACAGG
rnacentral:rRNA from 1 species